UGCAGUGUUAACCAUGAUGUGACAAGCAUUCUGUUGAAAAAUCUUAUAUGUGAACUGGUCUGCAGAUGACACUUUAGCAUUGAGGCAAAAGAUAUCAAGUUUUGAUGAAAAAAGAAGGAAGAAGGAAAAAUGGACCAAAAACAGACCAAAACAGACCUUCAAAUGAACUCUAAAAGGUGCAAUAAAAUUGUAUAUCAUCUUAAA